AUACGUAGGGGCCAAGCGUUAUCCGGAUUUACUGGGCGUAAAGCGCAUGUAGGCGGUCGAUCAAGUCGGAUGUGAAAGCUCCUGGCUUAACUGGGAGAGGUCAUUCGAAACUAGUCGGCUGGAGGGUGGUAGAGGAGAGCGGAAUUCCAGGUGUAGCGGUGAAAUGCGUAGAUAUCUGGAGGAACACCAGUGGCGAAAGCGGCUCUCUGGACCAUUCCUGACGCUGAGAUGCGAAAGCCAGGGGAGAGAACGGGAUUAGAAACCCCGGUAUUCCUGGCCGUAAACGAUGUCAACUAGGCGUAGGAGGUUAUUAACCCCUUCUGUGCUGUAGCUAACGCGUUAAGUUGACCGCCUGGGGACUACGGCCGCAAGGCUAAA
rnacentral:rRNA from 1 species